GGAGUUGGCCAUGGACAAGGAGAUGAUCCAGGGGGAUAGUAAGCCCUGGGGUCCUGCCCUGGAUUAGGGAGUCUAGAGGAAUGAAGUAGCCAUGGGGGACCAAAGGAAGCUACAGUAGUAAACCCAGAAACAGGCAGGAGAGAGAGGUGUGGUGGGAAGGAGCCCUGGGAAAUAGCAGCGGAGACUGAGAAGACUUAGGUUGCUGGAACUCGAAAUAGCAGGUGGACCUGAGUUCUCCUACCAGCCACAGGCAAGUAGCACAGGACCUGGAGUUGGAACAGACAGCAUACAGAUUGCUUUCCAGGGGGCACUGUUACUCCAGAAGAGGACUACUAUAUAGCAACCUGACCCAAGGACCAAGUCACAAAGAGUAUAGAAGAUAGUCCAAUAUGAGGUUCAGGGAUGCAUGCCCUCGAGAUAAGCCUUUCUGAUGGGACCAAAUGGAGAAGUCUUUCCAUUUAGCCAGGUCCACUUGGGGAGGUCCCCCAGAGCUGGAAAAUGGAUCUGGCAAUGUCUGGUCAUAAAAACAGUCAUGGUGAUUGGAGAAGGUCCUGCUCAGUCAAUCCACCAAUGUGUUCUGCUUCCCUAGAAGGAGGAAAACUGAACAGGCUAAUCACAAAGCUCUUGACUCCCUGACAUUUAUGAGCCAUUCAUGAAACAACCAGAAACCUUGAGUCUGCAGGGACCGCAUAUGAGUCCCCCAACCUAGGGCUGAAGUGUCUGUGACUAGAGUGAGGAUAGGUAGCAGGAGGAUAAAGGGCACCCCCCCGUCCAGACUUCAUAGAUGUGCUGCCGCCACCACCAUGCACUUUGUGAAAACCUGAGGAAAAGUUGAGAGACUGAAUGGGAGCACCAUGAACUAAUAAUGGGACCCAUUUGCCACAAAUCUGAGAAACUUCAUAUUGCGACAUGGAAGUAAGCAUCCUUUAUGUCUCGACCAAUGCAUCAAAAUGUCUGUUUGGAUGAAGUGGCUGGAUGGGAGGAGCUCACUGAUGCUGAAAAGAAGGGCAGUGGAUGUUGUCUCCCAUAACUACUUUCUCUUCAAUGGAUAUUGAGACCAGCAAGCAAAAUCCUGGUGUCUUUAUGGCAGCUGAGGAUGGAGCUAUUUCCUCUUUGAUGCCAGAGUAUAGAUUCCAAGAUAUUUUAAUGUCUCCCUGGAAUCUUUUAGGCUAUGGACCCUAUCAUCUGUCUUAUCCAAAAAAACAAAAAGGGACCUUCAAAAGGCAAGUCCUGGACUUCUGGGAGAGCCCAGAUGACUAACUACAAACAUCUUCUCAUAGAAAUGGUUGAUGCCCUGGUUAAAGCCACCACAUCUGUGCCAUCUAAACUGUUCUGGAGAGCAGUCCUGGUAACUAACUUGCCCUCCACCACCGUUACUGCCAAA